GCCGGUGUGGUGGAAUGGUAGACACGGCGGACUUAAAAUCCUCUGGGGAUUUCUCCGUACCGGUUCGAGUCCGGUCACCGGCACCA
rnacentral:tRNA from 1 species